AACUCGUUUCUGUAAGUUCAGAUCAAUUUUCAGUGAGUUUUGCUAUAUUCUCAAGCGUAAUAGUUCAAGACGAAAAUGAACCAUAUUCCGUACGUUGCUUUGAUAGUCGUGUUGUGCAUGCUUGGCUUCAGUGAAGGAACUCCAGCAACCCUAUGUUGGUAUAGUGAAUCAGCGGGAGGCAGAUUUCGAUUGGUUGUUCGUAAUAAGUACGAUAACUAUACCAAUAAAAAUGCUUGUUCUUCCGACGGGGUGUUCUGUGUAUAUGCCACGAAUUCGUCUCAGAAUGUAUAUUUCUACUAUCAAAACCGUGAAAUUAUCAUUAGAAAUGGAAAUUGGAUAUGGACUGGAACUGAUGAUUGGUGCAGGCCAGGAAUUGCAUACUGGUUCGAUGCUUAAGAGACAGUGAAUCCAAUACAUUCGCGGAAUCAAUUUUUAAUAAAAAAUUGUCAAUUU